rnacentral:misc_RNA from 1 species
AGUUUUGAUGAGUUGGGCACUUUGUUGGGCAUUCCUCCUCAAAAGGCUGAGAAAAUUGCUUCAAGAAUGAUUUUCGAAGAUAGAAUGCGGGGAUCCAUUGAUCAGGUUGAGGGCGUCAUACAUUUUGAGGAUGACACGGAAGAGCUGCAACAAUGGGAUCAACAGAUCAUGGGCCUUUGUCAAGCUCUCAAUGAUGUUCUUGAUAGCAUGGCAAAGAAGGGGCUCCCUAUUCCUGUCUAGUUCAUUUUGUGGUCAUUUUUGAAGAAUCUGGUACGAUGCUGAUGCACUCCUUCCUCGUACCAUUUACUGGACUGGCGCCACUCUAUACUUUCACCAGUUUUAAAACUUUGCUCGGAACUCGUCUCUUUAAGUUAGAUUUAUAUUGUACAUGACACACCUCUCCUCCAAGUUCAAUGGUUUAUUAUGGAUAUAAAUGUUAAUUUUGUUACAUUUCUCUUUUCAUAGGGUACUUGUAGGCG